rnacentral:rRNA from 1 species
UAUUUAUUAAAUAAAAAAACAAUGCCCUUCGGGGCUCCCUGGUGAUUCAUAAUAACUUAACAAAUCGCAUGGCCUUGCGCCCGCUAUGGUUCAUUCAAAUUUCUGCCCUAUCAACUUUCGAUGGUAAGAUAGUGGCUUACCAUGGUCACCACGGGUAACGGGGAAUUAGGGUUCUAUUCCGGAGAGGGAGCCUGAGAAACCGCUACCACAUCCAAGGAAUGCAACGGGCGCACCAAUUACCCAAUCCCAAUUCUCGGAAGUAGUGAAGGUAAAUACUGAUACUGGGCUCUUUCGGGUCUCGUAAUUGGAAUGAGUACAAUCUAAAUCCUCUAACUAGGAACAAUUGGAAGGCAAGUCUGGUGCCUCCAGUCCCAGUAAUUCCAGCUCCUACAGCGUAUAUAACAGUUGUUUAUAGUUAAAAAGCUCGAAAAUCGAUCUCAUUAAACGCUAUGCGGUCUGCAUGCCCGCCCUUACUGGAUCGCACGAACUCCUUACAGAUUUUCCUUGUGAUGCUCUUUACGGCGUUUCAUGGGCGAUCUGGAGAUUACUUCGAUCAACUUAAAAUGAUCAAAGUAG